GAUGAACGCUAGCUACAGGCUUAACACAUGCAAGUCGAGGGGCAGCAUGAACUUAGCUUGCUAAGUUUGAUGGCGACCGGCGCACGGGUGAGUAAACACGUAUCCAACCUGCCGAUGACUCGGGGAUAGCCUUUCGAAAGAAAGAUUAAUACCCGAUGGCAUAGUUCUUCCGCAUGGUAGAACUAUUAAAGAAUUUCGGUCAUCGAUGGGGAUGCGUUCCAUUAGGUUGUUGGCGGGGUAACGGCCCACCAAGCCUUCGAUGGAUAGGGGUUCUGAGAGGAAGGUCCCCCACAUUGGAACUGAGACACGGGUCCAAACUCCUACGGGAGCAGCAGGUGAGGAAUAUUGGGUCAAUGGACGAGAGUCUGAACCAGCCAAAGUAGCGCGAAGGAUGACUGCCCCUAAUGGGUUGUAAACUUCUUUUAAUACGGGAAUAAAGUGAGGCACGUGUGCCUUUUUGUAUGUACCGUAUGAAUAAGGAUC
rnacentral:rRNA from 1 species